CGCCUGUUUAACUAAAAACAUCGCCUCUUGCAAAAUUAACAAAUAAGAGGUCCCGCCUGCCCUGUGACCUGAGUGUUUAACGGCCGCGGUAUCCUGACCGUGCGAAGGUAGCGCAAUCACUUGCUCUUUAAAUGGGGGCCCGUAUGAAUGGCGUAACGAGGGCUUAACUGUCUCCUUUUUCAGGUCAAUGAAAUUGAUCUCCCCGUGCAGAAGCGGGGAUGCUAACAUAAGACGAGAAGACCCUAUGGAGCUUUAGACACCAAAGCAGACCACGUCAAGCACCCCCUGUCAAAGGGCUAAACUAUAUGGCCCCUGCCCUAAUGUCUUUGGUUGGGGCGACCGUGGGGGAACGCAAAGCCCCCAUGCGGAGCGGGAAUACUAUUCUCAUAGCCAAGAGUCUCCACUCUAAUAAUCAGAACUUCUGACCUAAGUGAUCCGGCAAUGCCGAUCAACGGACCGAGUUACCCUAGGGAUAACAGCGCAAUCCUCUUUUAGAGCCCAUAUCGACAAGGGGGUUUACGACCUCGAUGUUGGAUCAGGACAUCCUAAUGGUGCAGCCGCUAUUAAGGGUUCGUUUGUUCAACGAUUAAUAGUCCUACAUGAUCUGAGUUCAGACCCGA
rnacentral:rRNA from 1 species